CUUCACCGAACCAAGCCACAGCGGCAGUCCGGGGGCACGGUUCCGACCAUAGGUGGUGAGGAGCGCCUGUGCCUC
rfam:Streptomyces autolyticus strain CGMCC0516, complete genome.